rnacentral:lncRNA from 1 species
CAGCACACAAUAGUCCUCUAUGUUUUAUGCAUAAUACCCUGGAUUCUUUUCCGACUCCUGAAAGAGAAGGAACUCACCCUUAGCCUGCUGCUGAAGCUGGCCCUGGCCUUCUCUGCUGGCCUGCUGCCCUACGUCUACCUGCCAGUCUCAUCCUACCUCAGUCAUGCCCGCUGGACCUGGGGAGACCAGACGACACUGCGAGGGUUUCUAACACAUUUUCUCAGGGAAGAAUAUGGAACAUUCAGCCUGGCCAAGUCUGAAGUAGGAUCAAGCGCGUCUACAGUGCUGCUUUCACAGAUAAUAAAUAUGAAGACCGAACUUUCAUUCAAUAUCCAAGCUCUUGCCGUUUGGGCAAAUGUAUGUUUACCUAGAAAGUGGAGCGAUUCUGGAUGCAGAGCAAUGCGGUGGUGGCCGUUCUCGCUGGCCUUGGUUUGGCCACGCUUGUGUCUGAGACGAGCCGAGUGCUCAGCUGGAAUGGGGUUCGGAACCUGGAGUGGCUGUCAGCGGCCCUCUUCAUUGCUUAUCAAGUGUACUCAAACUACAGGUAACAGCACACGGCCACCUUACGAAGCGUGGGACUUACACCUGAGACACUGCAGGUCUUGGGACUGCUC